rnacentral:ribozyme from 1 species
UUUCUUUCUUUCUUUUUUUUUCCAUUUUUCUUUGCACCCCCUCUGAGCACACGUCUAGACAUCUAUAAAUACAGUAAGCCACUCUGUCUUUUUCCCUGUAGUGUGCGUCCAGAUGAUAGAAAGCACCAAACAAAAAGCAAUUUCUUUCUUUCUUCCUUUCUU